AUCCAGCUGACAAGUCCUAAAUAGAACGAAACACGCGUCCUGGAU
rfam:Schistosoma mattheei strain Denwood, Zambia genome assembly, scaffold: SMTD_scaffold0003686